CCGGACGGUGCAUCCUCAUAAAGGAGGUGCNCGACGAUCCUCAUGGGUAGUCGAUUCCGACAAUGCGCGCAGUCUGGCGUGGCGGGAAUCGAUUUGCUCGGAUCGAUGGAUGUGAGUGCCCAGUGGGCCAAUUUUGGUAAGCAGAAAUGGCGCUGUGGGAUGAACCAAACGCUGGGUUACGGCGCCCGAGGCGGACGCUCAUCAGAUCCCAUGAAAGGUGUUGGUUGCUAUAGACAGCAGGACGGUGGCCAUGGAAGUCGGAAUCCGCUAAGGAGUGUGUAACAACUCACCUGCCGAAGCAACUAGCCCUGAAAAUGGAUGGCGCUCCAGCGUCGAGCCCAUACCCAGCCACUGGUGGCAAAGAUUGACAGGAAAGGUUAGGUGUCACCUUCCUCUGGAUGUAAGGCCCUGGUGAGUAGGAGGGUCGCAGCGGCAAGCGUUGAAGGUGUCGGGCGUAGGCCCGCCUGGAGCUGCCGCUGGUGCAGAUCUUGGUGGUAGUAGCAAAUACUCGAGUGAGAACCUUGAGGACUGAAGUGGAGAAGGGUUCCAUGUGAACAGCAGUUGAACAUGGGUCAGUCGGCCCUAAGGAAUAGGGGAAACCCAUUCCGAAUCGGGUGUCUUUGGCAACUAGCUGCAAAACGUCCGUGCAGACAAGUGUCAGGUAAAAAGCCCCGUUUGAACGAAAGGGAAUCGGGUUAAUAUUCCCGAACCUGGAUGCAGAGAUCGGCCCUCAGGGGCCCAAUGCGGUAACGCAAACGAACUCGGAGACGGCGGCGGGAGUCCCGGGAAGAGUUGUCUUUUCUUUGUAAGGAACGGAAUCCCUGGAAUCGGUUCGCCCGGAGAGAGGGAUGUUGUUUCCGUAAAGCACCGCGGCUCUUGCGGUGUCCGGAGCACUCUCGUCGCCCCUUGAAAAUCCGAGGGAGAGAAAAUGAUUUUGCACCAGACCGUACCCAUAUCCGCAGCA
rnacentral:rRNA from 1 species